rnacentral:rRNA from 1 species
CCUACGGGAGGCAGCAGUAGGGAAUUUUCGUCAAUGGGCGCAAGCCUGAACGAGCGAUGCCGCGUGAGUGAAGAAGGCCUUCGGGUCGGAAAGCUCUGUUGCGGGGGAAAAAAGGCAGCAUCAGGAAAUGGGUGCUGACUGAUGGUGCCCCGCCAGAAAGUCACGGCUAACUACGUGCAAGCAGCCGCGGUAAUACGGAGGGGGCGAGCGUUGUCCGGAAUGGUUGGGCGUAAAGGGUGCGCAGGCGGUCCUGCAAGUUCGGAGGGAAACGCAUGGGGCCAACUCACGCCUGGCUUUGGAAACUGGCGUACUGGAGAGGAGGAGAGGGCGGUGGAACUCGAGGUGUAGCGGUAAAAUGCGUAGAUAUAUCGAAGAACACCAGUGGCGAAGGCAGCAGCCUGGCGUGCUGCUGACGCUGAGGCACGAAAGCGUGGGGAGCGAAUAGGAUUAGAUACCCUUGUAGUC